rnacentral:rRNA from 1 species
UACAGAGGGGGCAAGCGUUAUUCGGAAUUAUUGGGCGUAAAGCGCACGUAGGCGGCUUUGCAAGUCCGAUGUGAAAUCCCACGGCUCAACCAUGGAAGUGCAUCGGAAACUGCAGAGCUUGAGUACGAAAGAGGAUCGCGGAAUUCCCGGUGUAGAGGUGAAAUUCGUAGAUAUCGGGAGGAACACCAGUGGCGAAGGCGGCGAUCUGGGUGGAUACUGACGCUGAGGUGCGAAAGCGUGGGGAGCGAACAGG